CUUCCAUCCAGUGGUUGUCAGGGCGUCAAUCAACCAGAGGUGUAGCACUCGUGUGGAGGAGGGAAGGAAUGACACAAACACACAUGGUUUUCCUCCGGAUUCAGAGACAACGAGAGUUAACAUGACUGCAAGAGGGAGCCAGAAUCAUGAAGGUGUUGUUGAAAGCUUGGGGCAUGUGAGGGAAGAGAUGGCAUGCAGCUUUGGGCAUAAACAAACAAACAAACAAACAAACCAACAAACCAACAAACAAACCAACAAACAAACUAACAAAAGGACCAGUUUCCUCUUCAGAUCCCAAACCUCCCUGAGCCCCACACACACCUCACAAACAACUACGCCCAGUAAGACGGAGCCUGGCGCACGGCCUACUGCACUCGCAGAACGACACAACAUGAGCAUAUGCGGGUUCUUGCCUGGUGUUGAAUGUGCCUAGGCCAACGGUUGCAGAGACCAGGGCAACAGCUGAACCGAAGGAGGGGUUUCUGCAUAGCAUCAGCAUAAACAUGCUGCUCAUCCCCAUAGAACAAAACUGAAUAUGCCCAAGGAAACAAUCAUUAGGCAUCCAUCACAUCUAAAGACACACCAGCAAUCCUGUAUUUAAUGUAACCACACAUCACAACUGGCAAUUCUGAGCAAUUACAGUACACUGAUGAUGACUAUACAUUUGUAUUGGAACACAGAACUUUGACUUGGCUAAGGUUUCCACAGGAAUGCAAGAUGAAAGUUAAUUACGAUAGCAAGCUGACAGCAAGCCACAGCAUGCAGAUCUUCAUAGCAGUAAGAUAUUAAUAGCUGAAUACUGAAGGAGGCGCACCAUAUACUGUAUUAGAAGAAAGAGAUCCCCUCACCAUUACAUAUUAUCAUAAAUAAUUAUUUUAAUGUUACGGUGAAAUUCUUACUAUUCCUAUUUUAUACUUCAGUCUGUAGGACCUUUGUUGAGUGAUUGCACCACUACAAAUAAUGUCACAAAUAAAACACAUGUAGCUCCAAAUUAUACAAUGGGACAUUUUUACUUAAACAUGUUUCUAU